ACACUAGGGGUGCCUGCUCUGUUGUCUCAACAGAAUGGGCUGAGAUCACACCCUCCGAACCUGAUCCGGGUCAUGCCGGCGCAGGGAAGUGAC
rnacentral:ncRNA from 1 species